CGAGGGAGCCGCCACCCUGGUGCGGUGCCGGGCGGAGCUGGCCCGACUGCGGGGGCUGCUGGAGGAGCGGGACCACGCACUGGCGAAGGCUGCCCGGGAGGCGGAGGAGAAGGAUCGGGUGCUGCAGAAGUUGCAGGUGUGCUGGCUGCAGCGUGGGGCCGGGGGCAUGAAGCAGACGCUGUGAGCAGAGGAGGGGUAAGAAGCUCAGAGAACCUGGCUGAC